AACGCGACCCCAGGUCAGGCGGGG
rnacentral:rRNA from 1 species